rnacentral:rRNA from 1 species
UACAGAGGUGGCAAGCGUUGUUCGGAAUUACUGGGCGUAAAGGGCGCGUAGGCGGCCUUCUAAGUCAGACGUGAAAUCCCCCGGCUUAACCUGGGAACUGCGUCUGAUACUGGAGGGCUUGAGUAUGGGAGAGGGAUGUAGAAUUCCAGGUGUAGCGGUGAAAUGCGUAGAUAUCUGGAGGAAUACCGGUGGCGAAGGCAGCCCCCUGGGUCAAGAUUGACGCUCAUGCACGAAAGCGUGGGGAGCAAACAGG